GGGGGGCUAUACAUGCAGUCGAGCGAAUGGAUUAAGAGCUUGCUCUUAUGAAGUUAGCGGCGGACGGGUGAGUAACACGUGGGUAACCUGCCCAUAAGACUGGGAUAACUCCGGGAAACCGGGGCUAAUACCGGAUAACAUUUUGAACCGCAUGGUUCGAAAUUGAAAGGCGGCUUCGGCUGUCACUUAUGGAUGGACCCGCGUCGCAUUAGCUAGUUGGUGAGGUAACGGCUCACCAAGGCAACGAUGCGUAGCCGACCUGAGAGGGUGAUCGGCCACACUGGGACUGAGACACGGCCCAGACUCCUACGGGAGGCAGCAGUAGGGAAUCUUCCGCAAUGGACGAAAGUCUGACGGAGCAACGCCGCGUGAGUGAUGAAGGCUUUCGGGUCGUAAAACUCUGUUGUUAGGGAAGAACAAGUGCUAGUUGAAUAAGCUGGCACCUUGACGGUACCUAACCAGAAAGCCACGGCUAACUACGUGCCAGCAGCCGCGGUAAUACGUAGGUGGCAAGCGUUAUCCGGAAUUAUUGGGCGUAAAGCGCGCGCAGGUGGUUUCUUAAGUCUGAUGUGAAAGCCCACGGCUCAACCGUGGAGGGUCAUUGGAAACUGGGAGACUUGAGUGCAGAAGAGGAAAGUGGAAUUCCAUGUGUAGCGGUGAAAUGCGUAGAGAUAUGGAGGAACACCAGUGGCGAAGGCGACUUUCUGGUCUGUAACUGACACUGAGGCGCGAAAGCGUGGGGAGCAAACAGGAUAGC
rnacentral:rRNA from 1 species